UCCUGCAGAUUGACGUUUGUUCAAAUUCAGCAGUAAACAGCAGGUUUUCCCAGAUAAAGCAGCAAAGCAAAAUGAAUAACCGCUCGGUCCUCUGCCUAGAAAGUGUGCUUGAGCCUGUUACCAGGAAAUUGGAAGGGGAGCGAGAGACCUACCAAAUGUAGCAAUUCCCUGAUAAAUGUCUCUAUGUACUGGUUCAAUGGGAAAACUUUAGAAAUUCAUAUAAAAUCACUCCUGGCUAUGGCCUUACUAGUGAAAAGUAUAUCUCCCCCCCCCAAAGAGGCAAGCAGCUGAUUAAAAACACCUGGCACGGGCUGGAAACAUACAUUGAUGGUUUGAUGACUCAAACCCCUGCAGCUUCAGUGCUAGUGGCUGGUGAUCUUAAUGCCAGAAUUGGCCAGUCUGACGAAGCACUAUAUGCACACUUCCACGACUCGCCACCCAUCGUGGAAGAAAACCACCUUAUACCCACCAGACUCUCAAAAGACAAGGGAUGUAAUUAUGCAGGUCUGUGCCUAUUGCGUCUUUCUAACAAGCUGGACCUGGUCAUACUAAAUGGGCGCAAGAAUGGGGAGACUUGCGGGGAAUUUACUUUUAUAUCAAAUGCAGGAGCUUCUACUAUCGACUAUGUUAUGGUAUCAUUUAAUCUCCUAAAUAGAGCCCUUGAGUGCAAAGUGGAGGAGAGGGUUGAUAGUGAUCACUUACCGCUCUGCCUCCUCUUGGAUGUAAGAAAAGACUUAUUCUGCAACGAUAAACUUGAAGCCCCCAGGUCCUCCAACAUGGAGUUGAGAUACUCACGUAUUAGAUGAUCCGAAAAGCUGAAUGCCAAAACAUCUGAAAGGCUAUACUGGACAUAUUCCUCAUGAGAAGAGAUAAUCUCUUAAACUCACCAUGUUCUGAAUCUAGAAUAAUCUUGUUCCAGGAUCUGAUCUCACUUUUGCAACCCCACCUGAUUCAAAAAAGACAUCGCGCCAACCUUUAUUCCCCAACAAAUCCAAACCCUGGUUUGAUCAGGAAUGUAUUGCUACAAAGCGUUCUUUGCUGGAUAAGUACAGGAAUUACAAAUCAGCGAACUUACCCUUGCUUCCCGCGGAAUGGUUUGAAGCCAAACGUAAAUAUAAAGAUCUGAUUAAAAAGAAAAAGCUUCAGGCCCAAAGGGGGGAGUGGCAACGUUUAUUAGAGGCCUCUCGAAGGAAAGACUCAGCCACUUUUUGGAAAAUAGUCGCGAAAAGUUGGCAAGACUCCCCGAUUGAAAUUGAUUAUACUAUACCAGUUGGGAUUUGGGAGGCUUACUUUCUAUCUCUAUAUACAUCAAAUCAACAUCUGCAGGCCCUGCCCCCAGCUCCGAGUGAUAUUGGCGCUGAAUGGCCCCCAGUAGCAACUGAAGAGAUCUAUAGGCUCAUCCAAUCCCUUAAACAUGGAAAAGCACCCGGCGUAGACAACAUUACACCGGAACUCCUUAAGGCUAAUGUUGAAUGGUGGGCCCCUGUGCUAGCUGCCCUAUUUACCAGCAUAGAUCAAUUGGCCACUAACCCUGAGGAUUGGGGAUUAGCAAUCAUCAUUCCUUUAUUCAAGAAAGGGAGCCGAUCAGAUCUGGCUAAUUACAGGCCAAUCAGCCUCCUAAGUAUCAUUAGCAAAUUGUACGCUGCCCACCUAUGCGACAAAUUAGUGGACUGGUUGGAACAAGACCACAUUCUUUCAGAAGCACAGGCUGGUUUUAGGGCAAAUCGGUCAACCUUAGACCAGGGCCUUGUUCUCCAACAUCUUGCGGAGAAAUAUACAUCAAGAAAAGGAGGUUCCCUAUACGUGGCCUUUAUAGAUUUCAAAUCUGCUUUUGAUUUAAUACCGAGGGACAGGCUUUGGGGAAAGCUAAGCGCUGCAAAUAUAAACAAACGCCUACUGUAUCUCAUCCACAGUCUAUAUGAAAAUACCCGGAUCCGGGUAAGGUGUGACCGACAAGGCCACCUAUCCAAGGAAAUCCAAAUCCAUCAGGGGGUCAGGCAAGGGUGUGUCCUUGUGCCUACUUUCUUUAACUUCUAUAUCAACUCGCUAGUAGGAAAUAUGGAGAAAGAAAAUGCCCAUCCCCCCAAAUUGGCUGGUACGCCCUCCCGGUCCUUUUAUAUGCGGAUGACACAGUUUUAAUUUCUUUUUCUUGUGUUGGAUUAAGAAAACUUUUGAGAUCUUUUACCAAAUACUGCAGCAUCGAACAACUAACAAUUAACUACAACAAAUCCAAAGUCAUGGUGUUCUCUAAAAAAAGGAGGAGGCACAAAUGGAGAAUAGAUAAUCGCUCAAUAGAACAGGUAGCAACCUUUAAAUACCUGGGUGUAACCUUCCAGGAAAGGGGCUCCUGGCGCUUUCAGAUUAAUAAUACUAUUGCAAAUGCAGAAAGAUCUACCAAAGCGUUAAUAAGAUUCUUCUACGGGAAAGGGGGCCAACACAUACCGGCAGCCUCCCAGGUCUUUGCUGCCAAAAUACUAUCACAAUUGUUAUAUGGAUCCCAGAUCUGCAGCUUUAAAAACCUUACUCUCUUAGAGGCAUUCCAAACUAAGUUUUUCCGCUGCAUGCUGGGGAUCCCCUCUUGCGUAUCCAACAUAGCAGUCCAUUUGGAGUUUGGGCAAAUUCCUAUCAGUACUCGGAUAUGGAUAUUGAAGAUCCAUUAUUGGCUAAAGCUUAUUUUCUUCCCGGUUGGGCUGGCACCUUUAACCUUAUUAGAUACCUACCAAUCCAAAUGGAAAGCUACACUGCUGGAAAAGCUUAAAGGCUUGGGGAUCCCACAGCAGACCCUGAUAGCGUCAGGCUUCGAGAAGCUAGGACUACAAUUCGCCAGCGUAUCUGGGACGUAGAAUUACAAUGCCACAUGAGCGAAAUGAUCAAAUAUCCAGCAAUAAGGGACCAUGGGAGAGGUUUCUCUCCAGCUAACUAUCUGUCAGGUCUUCAGGUACCCAAAUACCUUUUACCCUUGCCAGAUUCAACGUUCUCCCUUCUGCCUUACUUCAGGGCAGAUUUGAGGGUAAACCAUACACAGCACGGGUCUGCCCUUGUGGCUCGUUGGAAGUGGAAACUGCUUCACAUGUACUAUUACGUUGUCGUCUUUAUGAGGAUAUACGUUUGACUUUUAUUACACCUGUUUUGCAAAAGUCCAGGAAAGAAUCGGAACACCAUAGUUUAAAAUUACUGCUAGAGGACAAGAAUCCCAAGACUACAUUAAAUGUAGCCAAAUUCUGUGCGUCUGCAAUUAAUCGCAGGAAGCAAGUGGUAUCCCAUAAUGACCAAACCCCCAAAUGUUAAUUACAGGGGGCACGCUAAUAAUUAAUUUUAAUUUUUUAUAUUUAAAUCCUUGUUAUAUUCAUAUUGUCCUCUGUAUCUCUGAUAUAUUUUUUAUGAUCUGUGAUAUUGUGUGUGUUGACGCUGGUCUGUGACCGUAUUAAUAAAUUCAUUCAUUCAUUUACACCAUUCCAAUCAUGUUCUACUCAGAAGGAAAAUGGCUAUCAGAGGAGAAUCUUGGGACCAUGGGUAGGGGCAGCCAUAAUUCCUGAAACGUGAGACCACUUACCCAGCAGGCCCCACUGCCUGGGUGAUAAUUUCUGGCAUCCUGGUAGUCAUUCCAAGAACAAUUGCAAACCCAACCUCAAUGGAUUGGGGUCUCGUUCAAGACAAAGGGUGUGCUGAACUUGGCUGGGAAAACAGGAACAUGUAAAUACUUUUGUUUCACCAGAAGAUUGGCAGGUGAAGGUCAGGUGAGGGACAGGUCAAGCCUGGUGCUCAAGUUUCUGCCAGAAGACCCCUCCCAAUUCAGGACAUAGUCAUGACAAAUGUAUGAUGUUUUAUGGGAAACUCUGGGAAAUUUAUAAAAAAAAGUGGAGCCAUCCUUUGUUUGGGGCUUCCCUCUGCUUCUUCCAUGUGGUAGUUUGAAGUCUUGUUGCAACAAUAAAGAUCAGGCCUCCUGUUUUGCUU